rnacentral:rRNA from 1 species
GUUAUAUGGUCAAGCGAAUAAGCGCACACGGUGGAUGCCUAGGCGGUCAGAGGCGAUGAAGGACGUGGUAGCCUGCGAAAAGUGUCGGGGAGCUGGCAACAAGCUUUGAUCCGGCAAUAUCCGAAUGGGGAAACCCACUGCUUCGGCAGUAUCCUGCAGUGAAUUCAUAGCUGCUGGAAGCGAACCCGGUGAACUGAAAUAUCUAAGUAACCGGAGGAAAAGAAAUCAACCGAGAUUCCCUAAGUAGUGACGAGCGAACGGGGAACAGCCCUUAAGCUGGAAUGGCUUUAGAAAAACAAUCUGGAAAGAUUGGCCAUAGAAGGUGAUAGCCCUGUAUUUAAAAGGGCCACUCCAGUGAAGACGAGUAGGGCGGGGCACGUGAAACCCUGUCUGAAUAUGGGGGGACCAUCCUCCAAGGCUAAAUACUCCUGACCGACCGAUAGUGAACCAGUACCGUGAGGGAAAGGCGAAAAGAACCCCGGAGAGGGGAGUGAAAUAGAUCCUGAAACCGUGUGCGUACAAGCAGUAGGAGCUCGCAAGAGUGACUGCGUACCUUUUGUAUAAUGGGUCAGCGACUUACUGUUCGUGGCAAGCUUAACCGUAUAGGGGAGGCGAAGGGAAACCGAGUCUGAUAAGGGCGCAUAGUCGCGGGCAGUAGACCCGAAACCGGGUGAUCUAGUCAUGGCCAGGGUGAAGGUGCCGUAACAGGUACUGGAGGCC